AGAGUUUGAUCAUGGCUCAGAUUGAACGCUGGCGGCAUGCUUUACACAUGCAAGUCGAACGGUAACGCGGGGGCAACCCUGGCGACGAGUGGCGAACGGGUGAGUAAUACAUCGGAACGUGUCCUGAGGUGGGGGAUAACCUAUCGAAAGGUAGGCUAAUACCGCAUACGCUCGGGAGAGGAAAGCGGGGGAUCGGUAACGACCUCGCGUCGCAGGAGCGGCCGAUGUCCGAUUAGCUAGUUGGUGGGGUAAAGGCUUACCAAGGCGACGAUCGGUAGCUGGUCUGAGAGGAUGAUCAGCCACACUGGGACUGAGACACGGCCCAGACUCCUACGGGAGGCAGCAGUGGGGAAUUUUGGACAAUGGGGGCAACCCUGAUCCAGCCAUGCCGCGUGAGUGAAGAAGGCCUUCGGGUUGUAAAGCUCUUUCGGUGGGAACGAAACGGUUACCACUAAUACUGGUGACUACUGACGGUACUCACAGAAGAAGCACCGGCUAACUACGUGCCAGCAGCCGCGGUAAUACGUAGGGUGCGAGCGUUAAUCGGAAUUACUGGGCGUAAAGCGUGCGCAGGCGGUGGCUCAAGCCAGGCGUGAAAUCCCCGGGCUUAACCUGGGAAUGGCGUUUGGGACUGGGUCGCUGGAGUGUGGCAGAGGGAGGUGGAAUUCCACGUGUAGCAGUGAAAUGCGUAGAGAUGUGGAGGAACACCGAUGGCGAAGGCAGCCUCCUGGGCCAGCACUGACGCUCAUGCACGAAAGCGUGGGGAGCAAACAGGAUUAGAUACCCCAGUAGUCC
rnacentral:rRNA from 1 species